GCACCUUAGGCUACAGUUGGUAGAGCAUGGUGUUUGCAACGCCAGGGUUGUGGGUUCGAUUCCCACGGGGGGCC
rnacentral:tRNA from 1 species